UCCGAAUUGGUGUAGUGGCUAACAUUUGACGCUCUCAAAUCGUCUUUCGUUUGAAAGUCUCCCUUUGAGCGGUGCCGUCAAGCCCGGGGUUCGAUUCCCCGAUUCGGAG